rnacentral:lncRNA from 1 species
UCUUGAUACAAGGCGCUAUCGGAGCAUCCAUGUAUGCGUUCUGUACCUAUUUGAAUCCUUGUACAUAGCCAUACUACAGAGUAUGUAGUAAACUGCCUUUUUUUUUUUCUAGAAGCUGUCACCAUCACCACGUGUCUCGUGCCCCGAUUCGGCCACAAUCGAUGAAUCAACCAGUCAAAAAUGAGAGAGUGGAUGUACUCUGUAGUACGUACGUACAUCCCUGGCGUGAGAUUGGUAAUUUUCCGCUGAUAUUAUUUUCCUGCGUGGAUACUACGAGCAGUAGUAAACUAUCUACGUACGUUAAGUUAACUAAUAAUGCUUUGUAUUGGUCAGCCCGGUGGGUCGAGUUUGCCGGAUGCGGCACUGUCUCCUCCCCUUAUGUUACAUUCUGGCUUGAUUCCUCUGGCGUCUUUAUUCGCGUAUUCAAUACGCAGUAGACUUCCAUCAUCUGAUGAAAGGCAAAGGUACGAUCUGAGCUUGGAAACGCUUCCGUCUGAUCGCGUCGCAAACCAGCCAGCACGGCGUUCGCCGAAACCACAUCUAUGGCUUCGAUCAUCGACGUGACAAGGUUCCUCUAAAAGUUUAAUUGUCAUGAGGAACGCCUAGUACAAUCAGGGUUAACAGUCCGGGACUUAGACGACGCCUUGAGGAAACAAGCCUUUGCUACUGGCUUGUCUGAGCAAUCGUCUCCACGACAAUCUCUGUGCAACCAAUUGCAGUCCUCGCUGUGGAUAU